GGAAUAUUGGACAAUGGGCGCAAGCCUGAUCCAGCCAUGCCGCGUGAAGGAUGAAGGCCCUAUGGGUCGUAAACUUCUUUUAUACGGGAAAAAACCCCUCGAUGCGUUGAGGGUUGAUGGUACUGUAAGAAUAAGGGUCGGCUAACUUCGUGCCAGCAGCCGCGGUAAUACGAAGGACCCGAGCGUUAUCCGGAUUUAUUGGGUUUAAAGGGUGCGUAGGCGGAUUAAUAAGUCAGUGGUGAAAGCCCAUCGCUUAACGAUGGAAUUGCCAUUGAUACUGUUAGUCUUGAGUAUGGUUGAGGUGGGCGGAAUGUGUCAUGUAGCGGUGAAAUGCUUAGACAUGACACAGAACACCAAUUGCGAAGGCAGCUCGCUAAACCAUAACUGACGCUGAGGCACGAAAGCGUGGGGAGCAAAC
rnacentral:rRNA from 1 species